rnacentral:rRNA from 1 species
GGAUAACCUACCCUUAGGACCGGGAUAACCUUGGGAAACUGAGGAUAAUACCGGAUAGGCAAUUAUUCCUGGAAUGGUUUUUUGUUUAAAUGUUUUUUCGCCUAAGGAUGGGUCUGCGGCCGAUUAGGUAGUUGGUUAGGUAACGGCUUACCAAGCCAUUGAUCGGUACGGGUUGUGAGAGCAAGAGCCCGGAGAUGGAACCUGAGACAAGGUUCCAGGCCCUACGGGGUGCAGCAGGCGCGAAACCUCCGCAACGUGAGAAAUCGCGACGGGGGGAUCCCAAGUGCCAUUCUUAACGGGAUGGCUUUUCAUUAGUGUAAAGAGCUUUUGGAAUAAGGGCUGGGCAAGACCGGUGCCAGCCGCCGCGGUAACACCGGCAGCUCUAGUGGUAGCAGUUUUUAUUGGGCCUAAAGCGUCCGUAGCCGGUUUAAUAAGUCUCUGGUGAAAUCCUGUAGCUUAACUGUGGGAAUUGCUGGAGAUACUAUUAGACUUGAGACCGGGAGAGGUUAGAGGUACUCCCAGGGUAGAGGUGAAAUUCUGUAAUCCUGGGAGGACCGCCUGUUGCGAAGGCGUCUAACUGGAACGGUUCUGACGGUGAGGGACGAAAGUUAGGGGCGCGAACCGGAUUAGAUACCCGGGUAGUCCUAACCGUAAACGAUGCGGACUUGGUGUUGGGGUGGCUUUGAGCUGCUCCAGUGCCGAAGGGAAGCUGUUAAGUCCGCCGCCUGGGAAG